rnacentral:misc_RNA from 1 species
UCUCCGUAGGUGAACCUGCGGAGGGAUCAUUACAGAGUUCAUGCCCUACCGGGUAGAUCUCCCACCCUAUGUUAUUAUUACUUUGUUGCUUUGGCCGGCCGUUAGGCUCCGGCCCGACUACCGGCCCCGGCUGGUAAGCGCCCGCCAGAGGACCCAAAACCCUGAAUAUUAGUGUCGUCUGAGUACUAUAUAAUAGUUAAAACUUUCAACAACGGAUCUCUUGGUUCUG